rnacentral:rRNA from 1 species
UACGAAGGGUGCAAACGUUGCUCGGAAUUAUUGGGCGUAAAGCGCACGUAGGCGGCUUAGCAAGUCGGAUGUGAAAUCCCUUGGCUCAACCAAGGAAGUGCAUCCGAAACUGCUGAGCUUGAGUACCAAAGAGGAUCGCGGAAUUCCCGGUGUAGAGGUGAAAUUCGUAGAUAUCGGGAGGAACACCAGUGGCGAAGGCGGCGAUCUGGGUGGAUACUGACGCUGAGGUGCGAAAGCGUGGGGAGCGAACAGG